rnacentral:RNase_P_RNA from 1 species
CAGGCAGACGGAGCAUAGCCGUUUUGAUAUAAUGUCAUAAUGGAGGAAAGUCCGGACUGCAUUGGGACGCAUAGCGGCUAACGGCCGCGCGGAGUAAUCCGACGAUUAGAGCUACAGAGACGAGCUGAUUAAAUUCAGAGUGAAACGAGCAAUCUCUAUGUGCAGCAACCCCGAAAAGGUUUUCCGCCCGGUCCCAGGGCUAUGGAUAACGGGUAGGGGGCUUGACACUUUACAGCAAUGUAUUGUGCAGAUUAAUUAUGCUUGUCACCAUUAAAUGUCUGCGUUGACCCGGCGCAACCGCAUCAAAUGGCGAUACAGAAUCCGGCUUAUAUAUCUGACCUGGACG